UAGGGAAUCUUCCGCAAUGGACGCAAGUCUGACGGAGCAACGCCGCGUGAGUGAAGAAGGAUUUCGGUUCGUAAAACUCUGUUGUUAGAGAAGAACAGCGCAUAGAGUAACUGUUAUGCGUGUGACGGUAUCUAACCAGAAAGCCACGGCUAACUACGUGCCAGCAGCCGCGGUAAUACGUAGGUGGCAAGCGUUGUCCGGAUUUAUUGGGCGUAAAGCGAGCGCAGGCGGUCAAUUAAGUCUGAUGUGAAAGCCCCCGGCUCAACCGGGGAGGGUCAGUGGAAACUGGUUGACUUGGGGGCAGAAGGGGAGAGUGGAAUUCCAUGUGUAGCGGUGAAAUGCGUAGAUAUAUGGAGGAACACCAGUGGCGAAGGCGACUCUCUGGUCUGUAACUGACACUGAGGCUCAAAAGCGUGGGUAGCAAACAGG
rnacentral:rRNA from 1 species